rnacentral:lncRNA from 1 species
CAAGCUUAAUAAAUAAAGAAUUCUUUGAUGAGCAUUAGUUGAGAAGCAAUGGAAAGACCUAUUUUAAAGACUUUUAAUGGAACAACGGUAUAUUGUUUUAUUGCAUCUGAAGGAAAAGGAGAGACAACGAACAAGUUAUUUAUUGGUGGAAUACCAUCUAAGG